UACGGAGGGUGCGAGCGUUGUCCGGAAUCACUGGGCGUAAAGGGCGCGUAGGCGGCUUGGGAAGUCUGUGGUGAAAGCUCGUGGCUCAACUGCGAGUCGGCCAUAGAUACUCCUAAGCUCGAGUCGACUAGAGGCAGAUGGAAUUCCGGGUGUAGCGGUGGAAUGCGUAGAGAUCCGGAAGAACACCGGAGGCGAAGGCGGCUUGCUGGGCUUGGUCUGACGCUGAGGCGCGAAAGCGUGGGGAGCGAACAGG
rnacentral:rRNA from 1 species